GGGCAAGUGGUGGAAUGGCAUACACGCAGGACUUAAAAUCCUGUGGCCGCAAGGCUGUGAGGGUUCGAUUCCCUCCUUGCCCACGA
rnacentral:tRNA from 2 species